GACGAACGCUGGCGGCGUGCCUAAUACAUGCAAGUCGAACGAGAGCGACCGGUGCUUGCACUGGUCAAUCUAGUGGCGAACGGGUGAGUAACACGUGGGUAACCUGCCCAUCAGAGGGGGAUAACAUCCGGAAACGGAUGCUAAGACCGCAUAGGUCUUCGAGCCGCAUGGCUUGAAGAGGAAAAGAGGCGCAAGCUUCUGCUGAUGGAUGGACCCGCGGUGCAUUAGCUAGUUGGUGAGGUAACGGCUCACCAAGGCCGUGAUGCAUAGCCGACCUGAGAGGGUGAUCGGCCACAUUGGGACUGAGACACGGCCCAAACUCCUACGGGAGGCAGCAGUAGGGAAUCUUCCGCAAUGGACGCAAGUCUGACGGAGCAACGCCGCGUGAGUGAAGAAGGUUUUCGGAUUGUAAAACUCUGUUGUUAGAGAAGAACAAGUGCUAGAGUAACUGUUAGCGCCUUGACGGUAUCUAACCAGAAAGCCACGGCUAACUACGUGCCAGCAGCCGCGGUAAUACGUAGGUGGCAAGCGUUGUCCGGAUUUAUUGGGCGUAAAGCGAGCGCAGGCGGUUCCUUAAGUCUGAUGUGAAAGCCCCCGGCUCAACCGGGGAGGGUCAUUGGAAACUGGGGAACUUGAGUGCAGAAGAGGAGAGUGGAAUUCCAUGUGUAGCGGUGAAAUGCGUAGAUAUAUGGAGGAACACCAGUGGCGAAGGCGACUCUCUGGUCUGUAACUGACGCUGAGGCUCGAAAGCGUGGGUAGCAAACAGG
rnacentral:rRNA from 1 species